GAGUUGCGAACGGGUGAGUAACGCGUAGGUAACCUGCCUGGUAGCGGGGGAUAACUAUUGGAAACGAUAGCUAAUACCGCAUAACAGUAGAUAUCGCAUGAUAGCUGCUUAAAAGGUGCAAUUGCACCACUACCAGAUGGACCUGCGUUGUAUUAGCUAGUUGGUGAGGUAACGGCUCACCAAGGCAACGAUACAUAGCCGACCUGAGAGGGUGAUCGGCCACACUGGGACUGAGACACGGCCCAGACUCCUACGGGAGGCAGCAGUAGGGAAUCUUCGGCAAUGGACGGAAGUCUGACCGAGCAACGCCGCGUGAGUGAAGAAGGUUUUCGGAUCGUAAAGCUCUGUUGUAAGAGAAGAACGAGUGUGAGAGUGGAAAGUUCACACUGUGACGGUAUCUUACCAGAAAGGGACGGCUAACUACGUGCCAGCAGCCGCGGUAAUACGUAGGUCCCGAGCGUUGUCCGGAUUUAUUGGGCGUAAAGCGAGCGCAGGCGGUUAGAUAAGUCUGAAGUUAAAGGCUGUGGCUUAACCAUAGUACGCUUUGGAAACUGUUUAACUUGAGUGCAAGAGGGGAGAGUGGAAUUCCAUGUGUANCGGUGAAAUGCGUANAUAUAUGGAGGAACACCGGUGGCGAAAAGCGGCUCUCUGGCUUGUAACUGACGCUGAGGCUCGAAAGCGUGGGGAGCAAAACAGGAUUAGAUACCCCUGGUAGUCCACGCCGUAAACGAUGAGUGCUAGGUGUUAGACCCUUUCCGGGGUUUAAUGCCGUANCUAACGCAUUAAGCACUCCGCCUGGGGAGUAC
rnacentral:rRNA from 1 species